GCAAUGUGGCCGUGGUCGUGCUUAUCAUUUACUGCCGCAGGGAUGUCAUGGAUGAGAGUUCUCGAAGUGAGGAGCUGGAAUCUAUCAAAGCAAAUCCUGAACCAACUGACACUUUAGAUUCAACACCGUGUAGUGUGUAGAUUUCUGCUGUGCUAAAUAAAUACCAGUUUUAAGGAAGAAUAUUGCUACUGGAGAGAUAAUAAAAAUCAGUGUAAAAGAAAAAAUAUCUAUACAAUCUCAGAUGAUGUAUAAAUGGUGUUAUUUUUGGCCUACAAACAGACAAAAGGAAGAGACCAGUAAUAUACCAUUGUAAGUCCUAGUCAUUAAUAUCUAUCUGUAAUGUCAAGCACUAAUGUAUAUGUUAUUUAUUUAACAUAUCUAGUCAUUAGUUGUGCCAAAUAGUUUUGGUAUUAAAAUAACAAUGUCCCCUAAAGAUCAUGUUACUGUUUUCUUUUUUUUUAAUGAGUACAACUGAAACUAGGCUGCAUUUAGUGGACACUAAAUUAAAAAUGUAAUUAAAGAAUCUCUAAUAAGAUUGCAUAUGAUAAGGAGCUGAAUGACCCACACUUCAACUUAUUUUUCAAACAAAUGAAAUUAUAUUCUUUUAAUGUGAAUCAAAUGGUUGAGUUCUUUAUGAAACAAGGCUUUACAAUUAUCAGUAAAAGCUGAAUUGAAGUCCUUGCACUUAAAAUAUACAAGAGAGUCCAUCAAUAAAUGUCAUAAAAACAUUUAAAUUCUUUGGUGUAAUUUAUAUGUUCAUGUAUCUGUAAAAAUUAACUAACUCUUAGCUAAUGAACCCUGUGGCAUAUAUACAUUUUUUUUUCUUGUCAAUCUGAACUACAAAAUGUGUUGAACAAUAUUCAUUUGACUUUACAAGCGAACCUUUACAAUAAAGGAUGUAUUUUGUACAAUAUUACUUAUACCCAUUACAGAAAUGUAAAGGGAAAAACAGUACUUAACUUAAUUUUUUUUCCUUCGCUUAGAAAUGGAUAGAUAGAUGUAAAACAGAUUCAAAGUCUUCAACAUUUAUAAACAUUUAGUCUUAUAGUGCAGGAUUCCCUUAGAUUACUGACAAGUUUUAUAUCAAAGAUAUACUUUUGUAAUGAAAAGGCAAGUCACAAGAGAAAAAAAGAAAUGUACUAGAGUAACUCCUCUCAAAGUAAGACGUAGCAAUUGCCAAACUUAAAAGUUGCAUUAGCAGUUGCUGCCGUAUAAAGUAAGUAUGGUCAUGGUGCUGCUUCUUGCAAAGGGCUUUACUAAUGAUAAUGCAUUACCUCUAUAGUAAUCACAAUGCCUUUUUAUCAUUUGACCAGGAGUUUGAUGCAUUUCUAUAAUUAGUAGCCUUUGGCAGACAGCACCAUGGUAAAGGCUUUUACACUCAAGGUUUUCCCUCCAUAUGUCUUGCUAUAAGAGGGUUAAUUUUGCAUUUCUGCAUGAAAAUCAUAUUUGCCUAAUGUGUCAUAAAUGCACUUUAAAUAAAUGAAUUCUCUCAUAUCAAAUCUGAAAGGUAACAUUUGAUAUCAAAAUAAGGACUAAUCCAUA